AUUGAACGCUGGCGGCAGGCUUAACACAUGCAAGUCGAGCGGGGUGAUGGUGCUUGCACUAUCACUUAGCGGCGGACGGGUGAGUAAUGCUUAGGAAUCUGCCUAUUAGUGGGGGACAACAUCUCGAAAGGGAUGCUAAUACCGCAUACGUCCUACGGGAGAAAGCAGGGGAUCACUUGUGACCUUGCGCUAAUAGAUGAGCCUAAGUCGGAUUAGCUAGUUGGUGGGGUAAAGGCCUACCAAGGCGACGAUCUGUAGCGGGUCGGGGAGGAUGAUCCGCCACACUGGGACUGAGACACGGCCCGGACUCCUACGGGAGGCAGCAGUGGGGAAUAUUGGACAAUGGGGGGAACCCUGAUCCAGCCAUGCCGCGUGUGUGAAGAAGGCCUUAUGGUUGUAAAGCACUUUAAGCGAGGAGGAGGCUCUUUUGGUUAAUACCCAAGAUGAGUGGACGUUACUCGCAGAAUAAGCACCGGCUAACUCUGUGCCAGCCGCCGCGGUAA
rnacentral:rRNA from 1 species